rnacentral:snRNA from 1 species
GUACGUUGGUAGCACAUAUCCUAAAAUUGGAACAAUACAGAGAUAAUUGGUAUUGCUCCUGUGCAAGGAUAGCAUGCUAAUUCAUGAAGCAUUCUAUAUUUUC